rnacentral:lncRNA from 1 species
UGCAGGGAAAGUAAAAAUAAGCCCAAAAGGGCAUAAAAAGUAGAAGUAGUAGAAAAACCAAUCAUGCUAUUCAUGCUACCAUAUCAGCAAAAAUAUUUUAAAGAAGAAACUUGGAGAAAACAAGAAGUGUGCUAGAAGAGCAUCUUUUAUUACCAAAUAAAGAGAGGCCCCUAGACAAAACUACACAACAUUCAAGAGAAACAAAUAAUCAUGAAAUUAACAAUCUGUCAUAAUGUACUUGUUCCAAAUUCGUUUUCUGUUAAAGGGUUACUCCACCGCAAAAUUAACAAUUCGGAACAAUCUUUACACACCACUUUUUCAUACAACAGCAGUGACCUUCGGCUGUCAAGCACAAUAAAAAGAACUUUAAAAGAGGUCCAUAUGACUCAUGUGCUUUAUUCCAAUUCAGCUUGAUUGCUUUGCGAGAACAGAAUGAAAUUUAAGUAAUUAUUUACUCUCAAAUCAAAUCAUUCCUAUACAUCAUUAUACAGCUCUCAAAACAAAUACAGUGUUUAUGGUGCAGGUUAUACAUUAACACCAUCAAACAUAAUUCAUUCUCGUAUGGUUUGGGACCAAGCGUCAUGGUGUGAAAUCUGCACCAUAUUUAAUCUGAGCACUGUAUAAUCAUUUGCAUGAAUGAUUUGAUUUGAGAAUAAAAAGUGACUUUCAGUCUAUUCAUCACACAAAGCUAUUAUAAAUCUUCAGAGGACAAAUCCGGUACAUAUGGACUAUUUUAAUUGAAUGUUUUCACUAUUGUUGUAUGGAAAAUCUCUUUUUAAAUUUACGUUUCAGUGACAUGGGGGUGAUUAUUGAAGGAGCUCAACAGUCCUUUUCACUGAUGUUGUAUAGGAAAAACUCUAUUUGCGUUUACGUUUCAAUGACAUGGGGGGGGGGGGGAGUAAUAAAUAAGCGGUGACAGAAUUUUCAUUUUUGAGAGGUGCAAAGCUUAAAAAGGAACCCAGUAGACCAAAGUAGUUGUAUUUUUAAGGAUUUAUGAACAGUUUUGCUCCUGGGCAAGAUUUGAAAUAUCACCAUGAAGAUGUUGUUUUGAGGCUGAAGUUUUAGUUUCUAAACUACUUUAAAGCACACUAGAGUAUUCAGAAACCCGUUUUCUUCACGUUUUUAUGUGGCAUUUGUUAGUUAACAAGAGCUAUUGAUGUUGCUGGUGUCUCAAAGGUCUUCAAGGCUUCCUUUCAAGACGUUCUUAUCAAUGACGACCUGGGCUUUAGCAUUUAGACUGGAUUCUGACUGAGUACUUACAAACAAAUUAACAAUGCUUCUGUCAACACCACCUGCAGGCACAGGCUGAGCUAUAAUCUAGGAAAUCUGGUUCCCUGGGCAGGGCAAGAGUCUCCAGUAUUUAAUCCCACUGUAAUCCUUACCUUCACGCAACGAUAGCGCAAGUCUGAGAGGAGGAUUGAUUUUCCUAGAGGGGGAUGGAAAGGAGGGGGAAAGACUGACGAAGGCCUCUCUAUUUAUGCUCAUGGGCCCAGAGGGGGAAAGUUUCAAUUUUUCAUGGCACAGCUCGCUGCCCCACUUUCCAGAGUUUUUAAAAAACACAGCUAGCUAAAACGAUGAGAUUAGUCACGCCUCACUCUGAAUGCUCAGGUUUUCUACACACUAAUGGAGCUCCUAAAAUGAAACCCAAUCUGGCUGUGAUUAUCUCUUGCAAAGGAAAGGUUUAUGUGCUCUGAUGUGUCAUAGAUCCUCAGCAGAGCCAAUAGCACUAUUCAGAAGGGAUUAGAUUUCAAAACAAUGUUUGAGGUGGUGAUUUCAUGUACUGAUUGACAGGAUUGGAAUCGCUGUAGUUUUUACUAAGAUAGGAGGGCCUAUUCCCUGGAUGUGGGAACAUUAUGGAUGGUCAUGUGAUCUGGAUGCAGUUGUCUUGAAGCCAGCCGAAAUAAACAAGACUUCUUCAUAUUGUGUGAUAUAAUCGGAAUGUUAUGUUUUCAUGGGAAGAAAUUAAUUAACACAAGACACUGCUACUGCAGUAGCUGUUCUGAGCAGUCUGUAUGUUUCCAUCCAAGCUGUGAAAUUAAUGUAUGUAAAAAAAUGAUCACAGUAUCGAAUAAAGCAGUGCUUGCAUCAUGUAUAUGUGGAAAUUGGCACAAAAUUGUUUAGAACACACUUUUUUAGUAAAGCUUUUAAUAAGUAGUUAUUAUUGCUUGCAUUAUUAUAAUUUAAACAGAAAUGUUUUAAUAAUAAACAUUUCUGGGAAAACUGUUACUCUUAUUUGGUCAAAUGACAAUCUGAGAUAAAGUAAAUGUUUAUUUUUAAGCAUAUUUAUGCACAAGUCUUCUAACCAAAAAAAGAAUAAAUAUGUGUGUGUGUGUGUGUGUGUGUGUGUGUGUGUGUGUGUGUGUGUGUGUGUGUAUAUAUAUAUAUAUAAUAGUGUGUGUGUGUGUGUGUGUGUGUGUGUGUGUGUGUGUGUGUGUGUGUGUGUGUAUAUAUAUAUAUAUCCCUUUUGUAUCACAUAGGAUGACGCAAAACAAGAACUAUGAAAUGUCAUUUUACUUGUAAAGUUAGCAAAAUGUUAAAGUCUAUAAUGAAGGAGCACCAAGCAGCUAUAAAUAAAAUGUUUGGAGUAGCUUCAUUUAUUUAGCGAAAAUAAUGCCACAAAUAACACAUAAAUAACUUAUCCGAUUCCUCACAUUUUUUUAAUGCUUCUGAGUUAAAACUGUAGGUUGGUAGGUAAAAGAUAAAAAAAGAAACAGUAUGUAAUAUACUUCAAAAUGUUUGCAGAGGUUGUUUGAGGAAAAGCAGACAUGUUCAGUUUGGACUGUACAUGAUUUCCCUGACCUCCUCAGGGAAAACUACUCCUCUCCAAAUAGAGCUAAUGAGUCAAACAUUUAUUUUCUUUGCAUAAACACAAACAUGUGUAAUUGUUAUGUUAUGCUGAAUGGAGAAAAAAAAAGAUUGAUAAAAUAAUUGAAUAAAUUAUUUGUUAUAUGGAUUCAAGGUCACCUGCAGCACCAGGCUGUUUACCAUUUUUUCUAAGAUGUGUAUCCUCACCACUUGAGACACACAGAACAGAAAGUACAGCCAUGGAGCUCAGAAAUGCAGUCUAGUACUCAAGUGCACACACAGUACCACAGUGCCUCAGAGCUCAGUCUCCAGAGGCUAUUUCUGGACGGAGAAUCGAUCUGCAUGUAGUGGAGUCUGGGUAGCUGGUCGAUAGCAGCCUAUUAAAGAGAUGUACCUGCUCAGCCCGCAGUGCCACUAUGUGCGGUCACUGGCUGGAGCCGCACUAUCUUCUGGUAUGUAGAAGAGUGUGUCUGUGUGUGUGUGUUUCGUGAUUUGUGUUUAGUAUUAGUAGGAAUACAAUAUGGCUACUUACACAAUUGUCAAUUUAUUAUAGACCACUGAGGCACUUUACUGAUGUGUAGGGACAGACUUUCACACAAGUAAACAAAAGGACUGAAUUUAGAGUGUUUUAUUAGAGUACCUUCUAUUUAGAGUAGAGUAUCUUGAAUGUAGUUUGUUCUGUUUGGAGUGUACAAACUCUGUUUGUUCGAUGGUCUUGACAUAGUGCUGUGAAGGUGGAUUGUUUAAGGUUGAGGUGUGGCCAUAAGAGAAGAGUUGU